rnacentral:lncRNA from 1 species
UAAUAACCCUUUUCAUCUCAUCUUCUUACCUACACUCGGCCGCCGUCGCCACCGCUACCGUCAGCUGCACCGCGGUAGACCACAGCAAUCAACUGCACCUUCGUAGAUCACUGCCACUGGCUGCACCGCUGGCGAAUGCUGCAAGAUCAAACUUUUAAAGAUUAACAUUGAUGCCUAUAGAAAGAUUGACAUUGGAGGCUUUGAGUGCAAUAUGAGCUACUACUACAACUAUUUAUGUUUCGCGU